rnacentral:snRNA from 1 species
GUGCUUGCUUAGGCAGCACAUACACUAAAAUUGGAACGAUACAGAGAUUAGCAUGGUCCCUGCACAAGGAUGACACCCAAAUUCAUGAAGUAUUCCAUAUUUUU